GUCCACGCCGUAAACGGUGGGCACUAGGUGUGGGACUCAUUCCACGAGUUCCGUGCCGUAGCUAACGCAUUAAGUGCCCCGCCUGGGGAGUACGGCCGCAAGGCUAAAACUCAAAGGAAUUGACGGGGCCCGCACAAGCGGCGGAGCAUGCGGAUUAAUUCGAUGCAACGCGAAGAACCUUACCUGGCCUUGACAUGCACGUAGUAGAAGGGUGAAAGCCUAACGAGGUAGCAAUACCAGCGUGCACAGGUGCUGCAUGGCUGUCGU
rnacentral:rRNA from 1 species